UAAGCGACUAAGCGUACACGGUGGAUGCCCUGGCAGUCAGAGGCGAUGAAGGACGUGCUAAUCUGCGAUAAGCGUCGGUGAGGUGAUAUGAACCGUUAUAACCGGCGAUUUCCGAAUGGGGAAACCCAGUGUGUUUCGACACACUAUCAUUAACUGAAUCCAUAGGUUAAUGAGGCGAACCGGGGGAACUGAAACAUCUAAGUACCCCGAGGAAAAGAAAUCAACCGAGAUUCCCCCAGUAGCGGCGAGCGAACGGGGAGGAGCCCAGAGCCUGAAUCAGUGUGUGUGUUAGUGGAAGCGUCUGGAAAGGCGUGCGAUACAGGGUGACAGCCCCGUACACAAAAAUGCACAUAUUGUGAGCUCGAUGAGUAGGGCGGGACACGUGGUAUCCUGUCUGAAUAUGGGGGGACCAUCCUCCAAGGCUAAAUACUCCUGACUGACCGAUAGUGAACCAGUACCGUGAGGGAAAGGCGAAAAGAACCCCGGCGAGGGGAGUGAAAAAGAACCUGAAACCGUGUACGUACAAGCAGUGGGAGCCUCUUAAUGGGGUGACUGCGUACCUUUUGUAUAAUGGGUCAGCGACUUAUAUUCUGUAGCAAGGUUAACCGAAUAGGGGAGCCGAAGGGAAACCGAGUCUUAACUGGGCGUUAAGUUGCAGGGUAUAGACCCGAAACCCGGUGAUCUAGCCAUGGGCAGGUUGAAGGUUGGGUAACACUAACUGGAGGACCGAACCGACUAAUGUUGAAAAAUUAGCGGAUGACUUGUGGCUGGGGGUGAAAGGCCAAUCAAACCGGGAGAUAGCUGGUUCUCCCCGAAAGCUAUUUAGGUAGCGCCUCGUGAAUUCAUCUCCGGGGGUAGAGCACUGUUUCGGCAAGGGGGUCAUCCCGACUUACCAACCCGAUGCAAACUGCGAAUACCGGAGAAUGUUAUCACGGGAGACACACGGCGGGUGCUAACGUCCGUCGUGAAGAGGGAAACAACCCAGACCGCCAGCUAAGGUCCCAAAGUCAUGGUUAAGUGGGAAACGAUGUGGGAAGGCCCAGACAGCCAGGAUGUUGGCUUAGAAGCAGCCAUCAUUUAAAGAAAGCGUAAUAGCUCACUGGUCGAGUCGGCCUGCGCGGAAGAUGUAACGGGGCUAAACCAUGCACCGAAGCUGCGGCAGCGACACUAUGUGUUGUUGGGUAGGGGAGCGUUCUGUAAGCCUGUGAAGGUGGCCUGUGAGGGUUGCUGGAGGUAUCAGAAGUGCGAAUGCUGACAUAAGUAACGAUAAAGCGGGUGAAAAGCCCGCUCGCCGGAAGACCAAGGGUUCCUGUCCAACGUUAAUCGGGGCAGGGUGAGUCGACCCCUAAGGCGAGGCCGAAAGGCGUAGUCGAUGGGAAACAGGUUAAUAUUCCUGUACUUGGUGUUACUGCGAAGGGGGGACGGAGAAGGCUAUGUUGGCCGGGCGACGGUUGUCCCGGUUUAAGCGUGUAGGCUGGUUUUCCAGGCAAAUCCGGAAGACCAAGGCUGAGGCGUGAUGACGAGGCACUACGGUGCUGAAGUGACAAAUGCCCUGCUUCCAGGAAAAGCCUCUAAGCAUCAGGUAACAUCAAAUCGUACCCCAAACCGACACAGGUGGUCAGGUAGAGAAUACCAAGGCGCUUGAGAGAACUCGGGUGAAGGAACUAGGCAAAAUGGUGCCGUAACUUCGGGAGAAGGCACGCUGAUAUGUAGGUGAAGCGACUUGCUCGUGGAGCUGAAAUCAGUCGAAGAUACCAGCUGGCUGCAACUGUUUAUUAAAAACACAGCACUGUGCAAACACGAAAGUGGACGUAUACGGUGUGACGCCUGCCCGGUGCCGGAAGGUUAAUUGAUGGGGUUAGCGGCAACGCGAAGCUCUUGAUCGAAGCCCCGGUAAACGGCGGCCGUAACUAUAACGGUCCUAAGGUAGCGAAAUUCCUUGUCGGGUAAGUUCCGACCUGCACGAAUGGCGUAAUGAUGGCCAGGCUGUCUCCACCCGAGACUCAGUGAAAUUGAACUCGCUGUGAAGAUGCAGUGUACCCGCGGCAAGACGGAAAGACCCCGUGAACCUUUACUAUAGCUUGACACUGAACAUUGAGCCUUGAUGUGUAGGAUAGGUGGGAGGCUUUGAAGUGUGGACGCCAGUCUGCAUGGAGCCGACCUUGAAAUACCACCCUUUAAUGUUUGAUGUUCUAACGUUGGCCCGUAAUCCGGGUUGCGGACAGUGUCUGGUGGGUAGUUUGACUGGGGCGGUCUCCUCCUAAAGAGUAACGGAGGAGCACGAAGGUUGGCUAAUCCUGGUCGGACAUCAGGAGGUUAGUGCAAUGGCAUAAGCCAGCUUGACUGCGAGCGUGACGGCGCGAGCAGGUGCGAAAGCAGGUCAUAGUGAUCCGGUGGUUCUGAAUGGAAGGGCCAUCGCUCAACGGAUAAAAGGUACUCCGGGGAUAACAGGCUGAUACCGCCCAAGAGUUCAUAUCGACGGCGGUGUUUGGCACCUCGAUGUCGGCUCAUCACAUCCUGGGGCUGAAGUAGGUCCCAAGGGUAUGGCUGUUCGCCAUUUAAAGUGGUACGCGAGCUGGGUUUAGAACGUCGUGAGACAGUUCGGUCCCUAUCUGCCGUGGGCGCUGGAGAACUGAGGGGGGCUGCUCCUAGUACGAGAGGACCGGAGUGGACGCAUCACUGGUGUUCGGGUUGUCAUGCCAAUGGCACUGCCCGGUAGCUAAAUGCGGAAGAGAUAAGUGCUGAAAGCAUCUAAGCACGAAACUUGCCCCGAGAUGAGUUCUCCCUGACCCUUUAAGGGUCCUGAAGGAACGUUGAAGACGACGACGUUGAUAGGCCGGGUGUGUAAGCGCAGCGAUGCGUUGAGCUAACCGGUACUAAUGAACCGUGAGGCUUAACCU
rnacentral:rRNA from 1 species